rnacentral:rRNA from 1 species
UACGAAGGGGGCUAGCGUUGCUCGGAAUCACUGGGCGUAAAGCGCACGUAGGCGGAUUGCUAAGUCAGGGGUGAAAUCCUGGAGCUCAACUCCAGAACUGCCUUUGAUACUGAAGAUCUUGAGUUCGGGAGAGGUGAGUGGAACUGCGAGUGUAGAGGUGAAAUUCGUAGAUAUUCGCAAGAACACCAGUGGCGAAGGCGGCUCACUGGCCCGAUACUGACGCUGAUGCACGAAAGCGUGGGGAGCAAACAGG